rnacentral:rRNA from 1 species
GGAGGGUGCGAGCGUUGUCCGGAAUCACUGGGCGUAAAGGGCGCGUAGGCGGUUUGGUAAGUCACGUGUGAAAUCCCGGCGCUCAACGCCGGGGCUGCAUGUGAGACUGUCAGACUAGAGCUCGGUAGAGGCAAGUGGAAUUCCCGGUGUAGCGGUGGAAUGCGUAGAUAUCGGGAAGAACACCGGUGGCGAAGGCGGCUUGCUGGGCCGAUGCUGACGCUGAGGCGCGAAAGCGUGGGGAGCAAACAGGAUUAGAUACCCUGGUAGUCCACGCUGUAAACGAUGGGUACUAGGCGUCGGGGGGAGCGACCCCCUCGGUGCCGUCGCUAACGCAUUAAGUGCCCCGCCUGGGGAGUACGGCCGCAAGGCUG